rnacentral:rRNA from 1 species
GCCUAACACAUGCAAGUCGAGCGGUAGAGAGAAGCUUGCUUCUCUUGAGAGCGGCGGACGGGUGAGUAAUGCCUAGGAAUCUGCCUGGUAGUGGGGGAUAACGUUCGGAAACGGACGCUAAUACCGCAUACGUCCUACGGGAGAAAGCAGGGGACCUUCGGGCCUUGCGCUAUCAGAUGAGCCUAGGUCGGAUUAGCUAGUUGGUGAGGUAAUGGCUCACCAAGGCGACGAUCCGUAACUGGUCUGAGAGGAUGAUCAGUCACACUGGAACUGAGACACGGUCCAGACUCCUACGGGAGGCAGCAGUGGGGAAUAUUGGACAAUGGGCGAAAGCCUGAUCCAGCCAUGCCGCGUGUGUGAAGAAGGUCUUCGGAUUGUAAAGCACUUUAAGUUGGGAGGAAGGGUUGUAGAUUAAUACUCUGCAAUUUUGACGUUACCGACAGAAUAAGCACCGGCUAACUCUGUGCCAGCAGCCGCGGUAAUACAGAGGGUGCAAGCGUUAAUCGGAAUUACUGGGCGUAAAGCGCGCGUAGGCGGUUUGUUAAGUUGGAUGUGAAAUCCCCGGGCUCAACCUGGGAACUGCAUUCAAAACUGACUGACUAGAGUAUGGUAGAGGGUGGUGGAAUUUCCUGUGUAGCGGUGAAAUGCGUAGAUAUAGGAAGGAACACCAGUGGCGAAGGCGACCACCUGGACUAAUACUGACACUGAGGUGCGAAAGCGUGGGGAGCAAACAGGAUUAGAUACCCUGGUAGUCC